UACGUAGGGGCUAGCGUUAUCCGGAAUUACUGGGCGUAAAGGGUGCGUAGGUGGUUUCUUAAGUCAGAGGUGAAAGGCUACGGCUCAACCGUAGUAAGCCUUUGAAACUGGGAAACUUGAGUGCAGGAGAGGAGAGUGGAAUUCCUAGUGUAGCGGUGAAAUGCGUAGAUAUUAGGAGGAACACCAGUGGCGAAGGCGACUCUCUGGUCUGUUAUUGACACUGAGGCUCGAAAGCGUGGGAGCAAACAGGAUUAGAUACCCGCGUAGUCCCUGAGCGGG
rnacentral:rRNA from 1 species